rnacentral:rRNA from 1 species
AUACGUAGGGUGCAAGCGUUAAUCGGAAUUACUGGGCGUAAAGCGUGUGCAGGCGGUUUUGUAAGACAGAGGUGAAAUCCCCGGGCUCAACCUGGGGACUGCCUUUGUGAACGCAAGGCUAGAGUACGGCAGAGGGGGGUGGGAUUCCGCGGGUAGCGGUGAAAUGCGUAGAUAUGCGGAGGAACACCGAUGGCGAAGGCAAUCCCCUGGGCCUGUACUGACGCUCAUGCACGAAAGCGUGGGGAGCAAACAGGAUUAGAUACCCCGGUAGUCCACGCCCUAAACGAUGUCAACUGGUUGUUGGGUCUUCAUUGACUCAGUAACGAAGCUAACGCGUGAAGUUGACCGCCUGGGGAGUACGGCCGCAAGGUUGAAACUCAAAUGAAUUGACGGGG